rnacentral:rRNA from 1 species
GACAGAGGGUGCAAACGUUGUUCGGAAUUACUGGGCGUAAAGCGUGUGUAGGCGGCCUCGUAAGUCGGAUGUGAAAGCCCCAGGCUUAACCUGGGAAGUGCACUCGAAACUGCGAGGCUUGAGUAUCGGAGAGGUUGGUGGAAUUCUCGGUGUAGAGGUGAAAUUCGUAGAUAUGUGGAGGAAUACCGAUGGCGAAGGCAGCCCCCUGGGAUAACACUGACGCUCAUGCACGAAAGCGUGGGGAGCAAACAGG